rnacentral:sRNA from 1 species
CCCGUGCCGUCGCCCCCUUCGUCGUGGC